rnacentral:rRNA from 1 species
GACGUAGGAUGCAAGCGUUGUCCGGAUUUAUUGGGCGUAAAGAGUUCGUAGGCGGUUACCUAAGUCUGGUGUUAAAGACGGGAGCUCAACUCCCGCAUGGCAUUGGAAACUGGGUGACUAGAGUGUGGUAGAGGUCUCGGGAAUUCCAGGUGUAGCGGUGAAAUGCGUAGAUAUCUGGAGGAACACCAGCGGCGAAAGCGCGAGACGGGGCCAUAACUGACGCUGAGGAACGAAAGCCAGGGUAGCAAAAGGG